GUGGGGAAUAUUGGACAAUGGGCGAAAGCCUGAUCCAGCCAUGCCGCGUGUGUGAAGAAGGUCUUCGGAUUGUAAAGCACUUUAAGUUGGGAGGAAGGGCAGUAAGUUAAUACCUUGCUGUUUUGACGUUACCGACAGAAUAAGCACCGGCUAACUUCGUGCCAGCAGCCGCGGUAAUACGAAGGGUGCAAGCGUUAAUCGGAAUUACUGGGCGUAAAGCGCGCGUAGGUGGUUUUGUAAGUUGGAGGUGAAAUCCCCGGGCUCAACCUGGGAACUGCCUCCAAAACUGCAUGACUAGAGUACGGUAGAGUGUAGUGGAAUUUCCUGUGUAGCGGUGAAAUGCGUAGAUAUAGGAAGGAACACCAGUGGCGAAGGCGACUACCUGGACUGAUACUGACACUGAGGUGCGAAAGCGUGGGGAGCAAACAGGAUUAGAUACCCGAGUAGUCC
rnacentral:rRNA from 1 species